rnacentral:rRNA from 1 species
AACGAACGCUGGCGGCAUGCCUAACACAUGCAAGUCGAACGAGACCUUCGGGUCUAGUUGCUCACGGGUGCGUAACGCGUGGGAACCUGCCCUUAGGUUCGGAAUACCUCCCCGAAAGUGGUGCUAAUACCGGAUAAUGUCUUCGGACCAAAGCUUUAUCGCCUUUGGAUGGGCCCGCGUUGGAUUAGCUAGUUGGUAGGGUAAAAGCCUACCAAGGCGAAGAUCCAUAGCUGGUCUGAGAGGAUGAUCAGCCACACUGGGACUGAGACACGGCCCAGACUCCUACGGGAGGCAGCAGUGGGGAAUAUUGGACAAUGGGCGAAAGCCUGAGCCAGCAAUGCCGCGUGAGUGAUGAAGGCCUUAGGGUUGUAAAGCGCUUUUACCCGGGAUGAUAAUGACAGUACCGGGAGAAUAAGCUCCGGCUAACUCCGUG